rfam:Cicer arietinum chromosome Ca6, whole genome shotgun sequence.
CGUCUGUGAUGAUAUCUUUAAGGCUUGUUUCUCAAAACAUUCGCAGUGGCCGCCCAAGAGCUUUCGCCUACGCCAGGCUUGAGAGCUAAUGCUGUUUUAUCCUUCCUUGGAUGUCUGAGACG